CGCCCGUCGCACCUACCGAUUGGAUGGUCCGGUGAGGAGUCGGGAUUGUGGCUUGGUUCCUUCAUUGGGAUCUGGCCGUGAGAACCUCUCCAAACCUUAUCAUCUAGAGGAAGGUGAAGUCGUAACAAGGUUUCC
rnacentral:rRNA from 1 species